AUUGAACGCUGGCGGCGUGCUUAACACAUGCAAGUCGAUCGGUAACAGGUGUAGCAACACAUGCUGACGAGAGGCGGACGGGUGAGGAAUAUUUGGGAAUCUGCCCAUCAGCGGGGGACAACCCGGGGAAACCCGGGCUAAUACCGCAUACGCUCCACGGAGGAAAGCCGGGGACCGCAAGGCCUGGCACUGAUGGAUGAGCCCAAAUCGGAUUAGCUAGUUGGCGGGGUAACGGCCCACCAAGGCGACGAUCCGUAGCUGGUCUGAGAGGACGAUCAGCCACACCGGAACUGAGACACGGUCCGGACUCCUACGGGAGGCAGCAGUGGGGAAUAUUGGACAAUGGGGGAAACCCUGAUUCAGCGACGCCGCGUGGGUGAAGAAGGCCUGCGGGUUGUAAAGCCCUUUCGGUAGGGACGAAAGCUCUUGCUCUAAUAAUGCAAGAGGUUGACUUAACCUACAUAAGAAGCACCGGCUAACUCUGUGCCAGCAGCCGCCGUAA
rnacentral:rRNA from 1 species